AUUGAACGCUGGCGGCAGGCCUAACACAUGCAAGUCGAGCGGAUGAGAGGAGCUUGCUCUUCGAGUUAGCGGCGGACGGGUGAGUAAUGCCUAGGAAUCUGCCUGGUAGUGGGGGACAACGUUCCGAAAGGAACGCUAAUACCGCAUACGUCCUACGGGAGAAAGCAGGGGACCUUCGGGCCUUGCGCUAUCAGAUGAGCCUAGGUCGGAUUAGCUAGUUGGUGAGGUGAUGGCUCACCAAGGCGACGAUCCGUAACUGGUCUGAGAGGAUGAUCAGUCACACUGGAACUGAGACACGGUCCAGACUCCUACGGGAGGCAGCAGUGGGGAAUAUUGGACAAUGGGCGAAAGCCUGAUCCAGCCAUGCCGCGUGUGUGAAGAAGGUCUUCGGAUUGUAAAGCACUUUAAGUUGGGAGGAAGGGCAGUAAGCGAAUACCUUGCUGUUUUGACGUUACCAACAGAAUAAGCACCGGCUAACUCUGUGCCAGCCGCCGCAGUAAGAC
rnacentral:rRNA from 1 species